AAUGCAUUUAUUAUUCCUUCGUCCGUGCUAUGGUUGGGAGGAAGGUAGGCAGCAGCAAUGAAUAAUCGGUACGUCGGGAGCUGAAUGCAGAUGCAAGCGAAUUCAAGUGUUUGCGCAAGCACUGGAAGCGCAUGAGAGCGGAGAGCGGAACUCACCGCAAUUAGUACUCCACCGCCUCGAGAUAGAGAGCUGUUUGCGGCAUUUCUAUCGCAACGAUAGACACAGUGCGCAUCGCCAAAUAGGAGAGCUGUGGGAAGGCUGGGAUCGAGCCAAGUCUCAGUGAGUACCACAACAUCAUAGUCCGCUUCUAACACAGUUAAACGGAACUCAUCAGCUUUGGAUCGUAAACCUCGCACAUUCUGAUAGUAUACAGUUAUAGACGUGGAACGGACAUUGAGUGGUAUGCGUGUGUAAGUUGGUGCAAGGUCAUCGGUGAGAGAUCGUGUCGUUGACGUGUUGUUGUUUCGUGUAAACAAAUGACUAGUCAGAUUCAGUGGCACAGUGCCUUUUGAGGAAACAGUUGUGUGAUUAUUACUUAAGAAAAAAGUGUUGAAUAGUAGUUUGGUGCAUUUUAACGGUGUUUGGUGUGGCUGUAGUUGUUUUUGGUGGAACAGGCGAUAUUAAGGUACAAUUCAUAUCGGGUGAUAAUUGUACAGGGUGCAUCGGGCUAUGUCGAACAGGUAUAGGUGUGUUUGUGUUGGUGAGAUCAGGACGAUGGUGAGACGGCCUUUGCGGGAGUGAGAUAAACUCACGCACACCGAGCCCGACCGGCCAAGAUCCUGCGCAAACUAAAAGCGAUGACGUCCGUGGUGUCCAACUGUGAUUUUACCAUCGACACUACCUGGUCAACGGUGACGGUUUUGGCUAACCUAGAUAGAUGUAGCCACAUAUAGUUUGUUCUUGGUAGUUGUGACACGGUUGGGAUCGACGUGGUGGUGGUAUCGGUUCCUGUUAUUAUUGGUGGUAGUGAAGGGCGAUUUCUUUGGUGAGUAUUGUCGGUGUCUGUAUUUACAGGGUAUAGUGGAGCAUUGUCAACAACAAUGGCUUCCGUGGAUGCAACAACGUCACGGAACAACCUUCUACGCUUUCCACUCGGGAGGGCAUCUGGGGGCGGUACGUUGAAGUGUUCGCUAGGAGCUUGGUGAGCCGCGGCAAAACUGGCAAAGCCCUCACGGAUUUCGUGCAUCACAGGCGGGACUAAAGCAGCUUUCAUCACCUCGACAGCGGCAGUAAGAGCCGCCUGAAAGCCGACCUGCAUACCCGUUGUUUUGACUGCUUUACUAUGUGGGUUGCCAAGAGCAUUCGAACACCCUACACAGCUCCAAUGAAGAGAUGCCGUCCGUUUUACCUCUUCGAUCACAGUGAAAGUUGCCGUUGCAGAUAGAUGCCACAGGACUCAGGAACAAACGCAGGAAAUACAGCAAAGUCAGGAAUGUUUGUGACGAACAAUUGAAGGCAGGACUACCAGAGACAGCUUAAGUCACAGCUAAGCGGCAGUUUGACGAAAAUAAGGCCGAAACGACAAAAUAAUUCACGGAUUUACGCGGAGCACAGUGAGAAACACACUCUGUCGUCAGCUGUCAACAGUACAGUCGUCGCAUGGCCAAGUUGAAGGAGAGAAAGCGAGCUCGCCAAACUCCGAUGGAAUGCCGAUCUUAAAGGACACAUACUUUAGUGAGCUUGUAACGCGACCUCUUGGUAUGACACACUUCACCGAACAGUCAGUGCAUUUUAACCUUCCUAGUAUGAACAUUUUCAUGUUCUCCUCAGUUACAGUGGGUGCAAUCCUAGUUACAAACAUCCAAACUUUUGGCUCAGGUGCAGGAAUGAAUUGUAUGGUGUCUGUGUUGAUGUGAUCAUUGGCAGUGCCGGUGUGAAGAAUGGCUUGUGUUGGAUUUAUGUGUUCAUUAUCAGAGAGCAUACGCGAUUGAGAGUGUGGUAGUGAGUUCUGUUUGACGGGAGUUGGUGUUGGUGACAAAGGAGUAUCGGUGGAUGUGUGGAAUGUUUUAUCGGUGAGAGAGAUGGUACUCACAGUCGGAGCGAUUUUCUCACGCUCUUGCGGCAUCACUCUAUUUGGAUUCAGCUGAGAUAUCCUUUGAUCAAGCUCAUUCCGUAUUGCAUUUUUCAACUCAUCUUUCAGUGUAUUCAUCAAGCACGAAAUUGAUGAGAAAAAAUCUGAUCUCGAGUCACGGCAUUUCUCGCACAUCCAGCAGAGACCACGAUUGCGUGCCACCUCCUGAACACAAGUGGUGGCAAGUUUAAUGCCUUCCGGAUGAAAGGCAGAAUUGCACUCCGAAAAAGGAAGAUUGCCAAUACAAACAACCGAAUCUUUGUUGAUAGUAGUAGAGCAGAUUGCACAGUCCAUUAUGAGAGAGAGUAUCGAUCACUUAGGUGAGCAGUGAGAGUGAACGGAGAGGACACUGAUUGAUGAGCUGGUGCGAAUUACUCUCUGAGUGUAUUAAGCAGGGUCAAUAACACUGAACCGCAGUCGCCGAUGAAACAGAAAUCACGUAGAAAUACAAUUCAGGUACGCGUUCUCGUAGAAAUUCUCGUACGAUGCAGGAACAAAAUGCUUCAACACAGCAACACAGCAAACACAGGCGACAGGAACAGCUUCACAAACUCAAAAACGAACGAUUUCAAACCAAAAUCACAUCAAAAACAGACAGUACACAGGAGCAACGCAGAAACAAGUCCAAACGCUUCAUUGGCCAACAGUGUAAACUAUGUGCGUUAAUU